GAAGGUUACAAUUUUGGGAGCAGAAUUUGGGUGUGAAUCACCCCAACCUUGGCUGCUAUGAUAUCUCACAUUGAGCUCCACAACUUCACAGGCCGUUUCUCUGGUCUCUGCUGUGGCUGUUGGUGUAGAGGUUGUGCUAACCUGUACGCCACCCAAAAUGCUCCUAUGAGUCAUGUAGGGGGAAAAGAAUCCAUUCCAUAGAAUGUGGAAUGCUGGAACAGAAGUAUAUUUUACCUUAGGUAAUCAACUCAGCAGUAUGUCUGAGGAGGGAGAGAGAUAGAAAAGGUGAGUGUAUGCAUGUCAAAGCAAAAUAAUCAUUAAAUGAAAAAUUAUUGAAUUGGACUCUUCAUUCAUCUGGAUAAAAAUUGUUUGCAGGAUCUAGAAUAGGAUUUAAUCUAUAUAGAUAUGAAGUAUGAGU
rnacentral:lncRNA from 1 species